GUAUUAUGUACACGUAUCAAUGUAAAUAUGUAUAGCGCGUCACAGGCAUAUCUCUUACGUAUACGAAAAAAAACUAACUCGAACCGAAGUUUGUACCUUGACGUGUAAAUACAAAGCAUGAGACAUACCGCUAACCAAAACUAUCGACGAGUCGGUGUGGAAAUAACUAAAUUUGAAUACUAUCGAACCUGUACCGAACGUCUAUCGAACGUGGAAAACGUUGGAUGCACUCACCAGAGCCGCAAUGGUUCACCUGAGUGGCACCGACGAUCGCGAUCAGAGCUACGAAAAGAAGUACGGCUACCUUGGUCAUCUUCGCCUUGAGUGAAAGUACAGUGAGAAGAAUUUGAUGCGGAGUGUAGGCAAAAAUGAGAUGACUGGUUUCUUCUCGUCCUCGAUCCGAUCCAACCAGGUUCAAGUCCGACUCUCGACUGUGAGAGCCUGCCACGGGAUGCAACGUUUAUGGCCGAUCAUUCGUCAAAGUUCACUUUAAAUAGAUUCCCCUUCCCAGAGGGGGAAUACGACGGUGACGGCGGGGCGAAUCGGUGGAGAUACGUAGGGGGAAAGCCAUGGCACAUACCAUGGCACGGCGGCGUGACGAUUCCGUAAAUUCAUGAAAUUUUACACCUUGCGCAAAAGAAGCGAGCGCGACAGCGCACCUGCACGAGCGAGACGAGGACGCGACCAUCGGGAGGAUUUCCAAGUUUCAUCUAACGCGAGAAAACGUAUUCCUCAGAGGACUUUCGCUUGCACUCCGUUUUCGCGAUCGUCACCUUCGAAGUCGCAUUUUUCCUAAACUUAACAAUCGACUGGGGACUAAACCGUUUGAAGGAUGGUGAACGUAAACGAUGUACACGGAAAGGAGAGGAUGAAAUGCAGCAGGUGGAGUAUAAAGUCGGCCAGAAUACAAACGAGGAGCGACGGUAACCUUGACGCAGGGAACUUGAAUUCCUGAUGAGAUCGCGACAUUGUAUGGUAGUACAUAUGUAUGGUUCUCUGAUUCCCUCGUCUAUUUCCUUUGGAAGCAUGCCUUCACCUUCAUCGAACGUGCGCGUUCCUCACGUGUUCUUUUUUAUACCUCUCUACCUUGAACGCGGACGCGUUCAUCAUCGAACAUAGUUCACUUCGAUUGUAAAUCUUUGAGACAUCGGAUAUUCGUUGGGACGAUCGCAUAUGUAUUUUGUCUCGCCUGAAAGUAUACCGAGAAAUCGGAUUUGUGAAGUAAAAUUCAGAGGAUGUUGCCAUCAAUGUUGAUCGAUGUUUAUCGACAGACGAAUAAAUAUCAAAGUCUGAUGAUCA